CUAUGCCGGCAUGAUAAAAUUUAGUAAGGCAUGGACGGCAUGGUAAUACUCCAUGCCAUGCCGAACCGACCCCAUGCCGUGGUAUGAGGACUUUUUAAGCGGCAAGAUCGAGCAUGGCCACUGAUGGACUGGCAUAAGGACGGCAUAGAGAUUUCAGGCCGCGGCAUGGAGCUUUUUUUGACUGUGUACCUUUUAAUUCCAUCAAGAGACAAGUCUGAUGAAGACAAGGCCAAUUUCAAAACUUUGAUGAACAUAUAGUCAAAGGAAGUAGAGAAGGAAAAGUUGUUGGCAUUUUGAAAAAAGACUUGGAUUAUUGUAACGACAACUUUGUCAAAUCUUUCAAAAAUGCUAUGAAGAGAGAAAACUUUGAAAUUUUUGAUGCAACGAAAACAUUGGUGUAUUGUAUGGGACAAAAAGAUGACCAGGAGUUGAGUGCCAUAAGAAAAGCCUUUCGAAGUUUCUGUUGACUUGUAUCACCGUUAUUUGAAAGUUCAAAUUGAGGACGUAAUUCGUUCUAAGGAAAAAGUUAAACAUUCGGAGUUGUCCGAGAAAACUGAGGAGGCCAUCAACGAUAAGCAGUUCACAUCAGACUGCAACACUAAUUAUCUAGACAUGAGCUACUCUCCUAUCAUUCAAUCUGGUGGGAGCUAUGCUUUGACAUUCAGUGCUGAAAGUGAUGAAAAACUUUUUGGUAAACAGGAAGCCAAAUCGACAGGACAACCCACAAACAUUGUUAUGGUGAUGAAAGCUGCUUGCAUUUUGGGGCUAUUUUGUGCUCAUUGGGGACUUAAUAUAAGCACUUCUGCUCCAAUGUUGCUCGUACACUGGUCGUAAACCCGUCGGAAGAAAUAGACCAAUUGUAUGAACUACUUGUGGAUCUGCAAAGGGAGGUCCUGAAACAACUUGUUGCUGGAGCUGAAAUUGCAAAAGUGUAUCAAGCAGGAGUCGAGUUCAUCAAGACAACUCGACCGGAUAUGCUUGCAAAUUUUACCAAACACUGGCGUUUGAUGCAACGAAAGCAUUGGCGUAUUGUAUGGGACAAAAAGAUGACCAGGAGUUGAGUGCCAUAAGAAAAGCCUUCGAAGUUUCUGUUGACUUGUAUCAUCGUUAUUUGAAAGUUCAAAUUGAGGACAUAAUUCGUUCUAAGAAAAAAGUUAAACAUUCGGAGUUGUCCGAGAAAACUGAGGAGGCCAUCAACGAUAAGCAGUUCACAUCAGACUGCAACACUAAUUAUCUAGACAUGAGCUACUCAUGAACUACUACAUGAGGCUAAGAAAAGCCUUCGAAGUUUCUGUUGACUUGUAUCAUCGUUAUUUGAAAGUUCAAAUUGAGGACAUAAUUCGUUCUAAGAAAAAAGUUAAACAUUCGGAGUUGUCCGAGAAAACUGAGGAGGCCAUCAACGAUAAGCAGUUCACAUCAGACUGCAACACUAAUUAUCUAGACAUGAGCUACUCUCCUAUCAUUCAAUCAGGUGGGAGCUAUGCCUUGACAUUCAGUGCUGAAAGUGAUGAAAAACUUUUUGGUAAACAGGAAGCCAAAUCGACAGGACAACCCACAAACAUUGUUAUGGGUCCAGGAAGCAAGGUGAACAUUUUGGGCGACAUUCCAAAAGUGAAGCAUGAAGAAAUCUGCGAACAUGACGAAAACCACAAAAUGUUUAAUUGCUCCUUGUAAAAAAGGAAAGACUUUGCCAAAAGUAUGCUAGACUUGCUUUUAAGUAGAGCGGCCAUAGAUGUAGGUUCACAAGACGAAAAGAAAUGUCGCCAGCAUCUCCACAAGACUUACAUUAAAUUGAAAGAGAGCAAGCCGACCGAAAGCAAAUACUUCCUCCCUUCCAGCUUGGACAAACCAGAAGAUUUGUGUCGUGUCUGCUUCAAACUGUAUGCUAAGUUUUUCCAUGUGUCUGUAGAAGAGAUCCGAAAAGAAAAAGCAAAAUGAAGCUGAAUUUAAUGUUCAAAAUGGAAAUAAAUUUAUA